rfam:Triticum aestivum genome assembly, contig: Triticum_aestivum_CS42_TGACv1_scaffold_604545_7DL
GUUGUACUCUCUUCGUCCGGAAUUACUUGUUGCCAAAAAAGAUAUAUCUAGACAUAUUUUUAGUUCUAGAUACAUUCAUUUUUAUCCAUUUCUGCGACAAGUAAUUCGUGACGAAGAGGGUAUUAA